GACGAACGCUGGCGGCGUGCCUAAUACAUGCAAGUAGAACGCAGUUGCGAACGGGUGAGUAACGCGUAGGUAACGGGCUCAUAGCGGGGGAUAACUAUUGGAAACGAUAGCUAAUACCGCAUACUGUGAGCUGGACCUGCGUUGUAUUAGCUAGUUGGUGAGGUAAAGGCUCACCAAGGCGACGAUACAUAGCCGACCUGAGAGGGUGAUCGGCCACACCGGGAGAGAGACACGGCCCAGACUCCUUCGGGUGGCAGCUGUAGCGACUCUUCGGCAAUGGACGGAAGUUUGACCGAGCAACGCCGGGGGCGGGAAGACGGUUUUAGGUUCGUAAAGCCCUGUUUUUAGAGACGCGGAAAAUAACUAGAAAGGCACGGCUAACUACGUGCCAGCCGCCGCGGUAAUAC
rnacentral:rRNA from 1 species